AGUGAACGCUGGCGGUAGGCCUAACACAUGCAAGUCGAACGGCAGCACAGUAAGAGCUUGCUCUUACGGGUGGCGAGUGGCGGACGGGUGAGGAAUACAUCGGAAUCUACUUUUUCGUGGGGGAUAACGUAGGGAAACAUACGCUAAUACCGCAUACGACCUACGGGUGAAAGCAGGGGAUCUUCGGACCUCGCGCGAUUGAAUGAGCCGAUGUCGGAUUAGCUAGUUGGCGGGGUAAAGGCCCACCAAGGCGACGAUCCGUAGCUGGUCUGAGAGGAUGAUCAGCCACACUGGAACUGAGACACGGUCCAGACUCCUACGGGAGGCAGCAGUGGGGAAUAUUGGACAAUGGGCGCAAGCCUGAUCCAGCCAUACCGCGUGGGUGAAGAAGGCCUUCGGGUUGUAAAGCCCUUUUGUUGGGGAAGAAAAGCAGCAGGUUAAUACCCCGCUGUUCUGACGGUACCCAAAGAAUAAGCACCGGCUAACUUCGUG
rnacentral:rRNA from 1 species